UAAGUUCUUAGCCCCAGCUCCAUAUUCAGUAGUGCUCUAGUGCCUAAGUUCAGGCAAGACAGUCAAGAUAAGGCGCCAAGCUCUAAGUCCUAGGGUAGUGUGAACAGUGGUCGCACUAAUCUGCUUUGCUGAAAAUAUAGUAGAAAUCACUAGGGUGUGUGCAAGGAUGGUAGCGAUGUGUGUUUUAGAUAUGUCAAGCCAGGCCACAAGGUCAGGGAGUGUCCAGUAGUUUCUCAGAGGGGAAAGAAUUUGCCCCAACAGGGCCAGUCUUAUCUGUCAUUAGCUCCAGUAGGUCGCUCGAAUCAGUAGGUGCCAUAUCCAAUGAAAUGAGUGGGCCACACCAGAAUAGGUUAUAUGCACUUCAGACCCGUUAUAAUCAGGAAAGUUCUCCCAAUGUAGUUAUGGGUAUGUUACAGGUCUUUUAUAUUCAUGUUUAUGUUUUCU
rnacentral:lncRNA from 1 species